CACGUAGGGUGCGAGCGUUGUCCGGAAUUAUUGGGCGUAAAGAGCGCGUAGGCGGUCCGAUAAGUCGGCUGUGAAAGUCAGGGGCUCAACCCUUGAAAGCCGGCCGAUACUGUCGGACUGGAGUCCGGAAGAGGCGACUGGAAUUCCUGGUGUAGCGGUGAAAUGCGCAGAUAUCAGGAGGAACACCGGUGGCGAAGGCGGGUCUCUGGGCCGAUACUGACGCUGAGGAGCGAAAGCGUGGGGAGCGAACAGG
rnacentral:rRNA from 1 species